CUGUGCUAGACCUUGAGGAUGCCAGCCUUGUGUGAUUCUGAGCUUGGGACAGAAUUAUUACCCUUCACAAUCAGCCGGUCCUGGCCUUCAUCCAUUACAAUCAACCAACAAUGCUGAGGUCUUCCAGAAGAACUGACCUUGGCUGCAUCAGCAAACUCAAGCUCUGUGUGACUCUGAUGAAAUUCUGGAGCUGUCACCUUCCCUGCUACCUCCAGUCUCACGCUACUGGCUUCGAGAGACAGCCUCAGGACUGUGAUCUCGCCUCUGCCCCAGACCCCUUCUGGCUCAGCCACCACAGCCUGGCUCCGACAAAGAACUCCAUCCCUUCAGAACUUGGCUGCCGGGUGCCUGGGUGGCUCAGUUGUUAAGUGUCUGCCUUUGGCUCAGGUCAUGAUCCCGGGAUCAGUCCUGCAUGGAGCUCCCUGCUCAGUGGGGAGUCUGCUUCUCUGUUCCUCCCCUGCCUUGUGUGCUUUCUCUGGCUCACUCUCUCUGUCUAAGUAAAUAAAUAAAAUGUUAAG
rnacentral:lncRNA from 1 species